UUUUACUGCUGGACGUCGGUAGCCUCCUCCUUUUCGUUCACCAAUGUGUGUCCAAUGUUAGCCGUGUGAUGGAGGAGGCUUUCCUAUUUUUACAGCAUUUUGUGCCAUUCAAACUCAAGUUGCAUCCCCAGGAGACCACAUCAAAAUUAAAGAUCGAGUAUCAGGGACUGAGGUCACCAUGGCAGUCAACUAGACGACCACUCUGUGCCUGUUUAUUUGAAGCAGAGUUGGGCCCUCCAGACCAGCAGUGAGAAUUUAUAAGUUUGGAUAAGUACCGGAAGAUUGACAACUAUGACACCUUUGACAUCACUUCCUGUUCCUGACCGCCUGGACCCGCA